rnacentral:misc_RNA from 4 species
AACGCACCUUGCGCCCGCCAGUACUCUGGCGGGCAUGCCUGUUCGAGCGUCAUUUCAACCCUCAAGCCCUGCUUGGUGUUGGGGCCCUACGGCUGCCGUAGGCCCUGAAAGGAAGUGGCGGGCUCGCUACAACUCCGAGCGUAGUAGAAUCCUAUCUCGCUAGGGAGGUGCGGCGUGCUCCUGCCGUUAAAGACCCCAUAUUUAACCAAGGUUGACCUCGGAUCAGGUAGGAAUACCCGCUGAACUUAA